rnacentral:rRNA from 1 species
UACAGAGGUCCCAAGCGUUGUUCGGAUUCACUGGGCGUAAAGGGUGCGUAGGAGGUUGGCAAAGUCGGGUGUGAAAUCUCACCGCUUAACGGUGAAAUGGCGCUCGAUACUGGUUGACUAGAGUAUCGGAGGGGAAAGCGGAAUUCCUGGUGUAGCGGUGAAAUGCGUAGAUAUCAGGAGGAACACCAACGGCGAAGGCAGCUUUCUGGACGAUAACUGACUCUGAGGCACGAAGGCUAGGGGAGCGAACGGG